rnacentral:misc_RNA from 1 species
CAAUACUUUACCAUUUGCAGUUUAUUAGGAUUGCUCCCUUAUAGUUCUAAAUCCAAAGGAUGGUAUUUACUACAUACCUUAAUAGUUUUUGUACUUGUUAUUAUUAAACAUGUAAUAACCUGGGUUUUCUCUGUGUCGAUGGCACUAUUCUCAAACCGAGUAGAACAAGCUGGCGAAGAUCUCUUAAGACUCUGCUACAGUUUGCAAAAAGACGUAGAAAAUCCGCUGAUGCUCACCCAACUGAAGCUACUCACAGAGUUUUUUCGAGGGCUCAGACCGAAAAUUCAAGUGAUUGGAUAUUUCGAUGUAAAUAAAAGGUUAAUACCCGUGAUGAUUUCGCUUAUAACUUCCUAUUUGAUCAUUAUAAUUCAAUUUCAAGGCCGUGUACUAUAAAAACGGUUGUUUAUUUAUCUAUGUAGGUGUAAUUGAAUGUAUUUUAUUAUGUAAAUUACUUAAAUAUUGUUUAUGUUGUUUAGUUUUAUUGUAUAAACUAAUAUCAUUCA